AUUAAAGGGAUUUGGUUGGGAUUUUUUUUCAAAUAAUAAUAAGGAAAAUAUCCCUAAAAAUAUCCCCACAUUUCGUCCAAUAUUUCCUCGCUCUCUUCACUUUAUGUUGUUUCACACCAGUUCCUUUAUAUUGGAUUAAUAUCGUUGUUCUGCCGAGUUUGGUGCUAGGAAUUGAUAAUUCUAUAUCAAUGUAAGUGUAGUAAGUGUGUUUUUCCGGUGGUAAGGUUAAUUGAUUCUUUUCAUUUGAAGGUUAAGGGUUUUAGUUGUUCUUAAUUCUCAAUUUUGUUCGUUUUUGGGUUCUUUCAAUGAUGGAUCCUGUGACAAAUACCCCUUUGACAAGUUGAUUAUUGUUGGUAUCAUUCCUUUUUGCAGGUAAGGGGCUAAACACCUUCGUUAGAGGUUGUUUUGUGUAGAAUUGUUAGUGGUUGAGCGACUAAUUGUAUUUUGGUCACAUAUCCUAAUGGAAUAAGGGUUGAAUGCGAGUUUUGUAACACCCCUUACCCGUAUCCAACGCCGGAAUAGGGUACGAGGUGUUACCAGACUUAAAAUUUCUUGAACAUAUAAAACCGGGUCAUAAAAUUUCGUCAA